GUGACAGAGAGGAAGCUGUGGAGAUGGUGACAGUGGUAGUGUUGUCCUGCCUGAUUCUGGAGAGGUAGCUGCUAUGACAGGGCUUCCCCCAAACAACUGGAAAUGGAGCUGAAUAGGAUUGGCUGUAGCAACCAGAUCUGCAGAGACUUCUGCACAAUUGGCUAUCCAAGGGAUGGGCUGGCUGGUUAGAAUUCGUUUUUCUGAUGGGGUGGAAGAAUAUUGGAAUCCUUUCCAAGAAGACUCCCAGGCUUGUGAGAGAAGAAAUUGAUUUUGAAAAAGAAGGUGAAGUAAUACAAUAUAAAAGAAACAAUUUUUUCCCCAAGGGAGGGAAGACAGAGAAAAGGAGAGGUGCUCUCUGACUGUUGGAGGAGGAAAAAAAUCCUGGUUUUCUUCAAUGUGUGAUGGAAAGAAAGAAUUGAUGAGUGACUUGGACUUUGAUUCUUGGCCAGAUUCUAAAGGAUGAUUGUUAUCACCAUUUCCUUUGCUAAACAUUCACUAAUAAUCCUUCAAUGAGCCUAUGAGGCUUCCUCAAGAAUAAACCACAGUAGUGAUUUCAGAUGCUGUCUAGGGAGGGUAAACUAGACUGUGAGAUCAAGGGAACAGAAUAGAAAUAAUUUACUUUGAUUUUUAUGAAGCAUUCAACAAUGUUUCACUUGCUUUUUCUGGAUAAGUGUGAGAAAAUUGAGGGAACUUAGAUAGGAAGUGGUUAAUUGUGGGAAUUGUCUGAUUCACUAUUGCUCCAUCUCAUGACUGAAAUCUGGAGCUAGCUCAGUUUCUUUUCUAUUCACCUGUGGUUCUGUCCUGUGAUAAAGGUUUAUUCUGUUGUGGGAAUAAAAAGAAAUCCUAACU